AUGCCAUUUGAAAACCAAAGUGAGAGAGGUGCAUUCCAUCUGAUUCCUCAAAGACAUGGUGCCAGCUAUUUCAUGAUGUCCAUCUCAUUAGGCACAAAACCCUUGUAUGUGAAUCAAGGUAGAUUUGUUUCAUGUUUGACUUACUUUGAAUGGAGAAAAAAACCCAAGAAUGAUCAUGAGGUCCUUAGCUGGUUCAGAAAUGCUUGAAAAGAAAGCCAUAGGUGGAUUCCUAGUUAUUAAAAUUGUUUAAAAAAGUAUUAUUUUGAGCUGAAACAGUUGUUAUAUGUGAACUGUUUGAUUUGAUUAAUUAUAAUAGUAGAUAUGAUAACUUCAAGGCUUUAUUUUUUUGACUACUAACAUUUUUUCCCCUAAUACAUAUAAAUGUAUUGCUCUGUUAACUACCCCUUUUUUUUUCUUUGCCAAAGUAGAAAAGUAGAAAAAUGUUUUAGGCCAAUUAAAAAUCAUUCUGUGUCAUUUGUUCUAACUACAAAUAUGGUAUAUAUGCUUACUGAAAGUUAAAAUAUUAAACAUACAAAUAAAAAUCACCCAAAAUCUCA
rnacentral:lncRNA from 13 species